GGAAGGGCUGUAGCUCAGUGGUAGAGCAUCUGCUCUGCAUACAGAAGGUCGCAGGUUUGAUCCCUGGUAUUUCCA
rnacentral:tRNA from 1 species